GUCAGGUGAAUCAAGCGUAGCAGCCCAACUACACAGUUUACUCAAGUUUUGGCUUCCUAUCGGUAAAAUGCGAGACAGACCAAUUGCCAGACGCCGAUACUGACAGGGACAAUGACAUGUCUGAAUGGGUUGGACAACGGACCACUGAACUAGAGGAGGAGGAGGAAAGGAGGGCUGUCCUGGAUUGCGACUGCUGUUGACACAUCAUGGUUCUUCUUCUUCUUCUUCUUCUGCUGCUGCUGGUGUUGCUUGAUUGAGUGAGACUGAGGUCGCAGAGCUGCUGAGGCUGCCCAUUAC